rnacentral:rRNA from 1 species
GAUGAACGCUAGCGGCAGGCUUAAUACAUGCAAGGCGAAGGGGCAGCAAUGUCACUGUCGUACGGGUGCGUAACGCGUAUGCAACCUACCUAUCACUGGGGGAUAGCCCGGGGAAACCCGGAUUAAUACCGCAUGAUACAUAGAGAAUACCUAUUUUUUAUGUUAAAGAUUUAUCGGUGGUAGAUGGGCAUGCGUCUGAU